rnacentral:lncRNA from 1 species
UUAAAAAAAGGAAGAAAUUCUCUGUAUUUUUAAAGUGUUCUCCACUUGCUUUAGAAGACGGCUGACAAUAUCGCUACUCACACAAACAUAUUUUACAAAAUGCACGAAAGCAGGGGUGGGGGGUCGGUCUUUUUCUCGUUUUCAAGUGACGACAUUAACGCUGGGACGGUUUGGUCCCCCCGGGGAGAGGCAAAGAAGCGAAGCUGCGCAAACAUUCUGUAAACACGGCGUAGAGUUCAGCCCUCUCCCAAGGUUCAGAAGGAGAGGCAUGGGCAGAGCUGGGGGGGUGUGCUGUCGGGUACUGGGGGGUGCUGGCCGAGCUGUACUGGGCGUUGUACUGCAUGUGCUGCAGCGACUGCGCGCUGUAGGCAGAAAAGGGAAUGCCCGCCUGGAAGGUGGCGGCUGCCAGGUCCUGGGCUUUGAGCGCGUGACAUGGUUUGCCGUCCCUGACCAAGACGGGCACGGCCACCCGGCGCGGCGAGGGCAGGGGCGUCACCUCCAUACCUUUCUCGGCCCGGGCGCGCUUCAUCUUGUAGCGGUGGUUCUGGAACCAGAUCUUGACCUGCGUGGGCGUGAGGCGGAUGAGGCUGGCCAGGUGUUCGCGCUCGGGCGCCGACAGGUACCGCUGCUGCCGAAAGCG